UACGUAGGGACCGAGCGUUGUCCGGAAUCAUUGGGCGUAAAGAGCGUGUAGGCGGCCACUUAAGUCCUGCGUGAAAUCUUGCGGCUCAACCGCAAGCGGUCGUGGGAAAUUGGGUGGCUAGAGUGCGGGAGAGGAGAGUGGAAUUCCUGGUGUAGCGGUGGAAUGCGCAGAUAUCAGGAAGAACACCCGUGGCGAAGGCGGCUCUCUGGAACGCAACUGACGCUGAGACGCGAAAGCGUGGGGAGCAAACAGG
rnacentral:rRNA from 1 species